rnacentral:rRNA from 1 species
UACGUAGGGUCCGAGCGUUGUCCGGAGUUACUGGGCGUAAAGCGCGCGCAGGCGGCGGUGCUGGCCCGGCGUGAAAGCCCCCGGCUCAACCGGGGAGGGUCGUCGGGGACCGCACCGCUUGAGGGCGGUAGGGGCUGGUGGAAUGCCUGGUGUAGUGGUGAAAUGCGUAGAGAUCAGGCGGAACACCCGUAGCGAAGGCGGCCAGCUGGGCCGUCCCUGACGCUGAGGCGCGAAGGCGUGGGGAGCGAACGGG